GGUGCGCCACGCGAGGGAAACUCCGCCCGGGUGCGCCACGCGAGGGGCUCGAACCCGGGCUGCGGGGGUGCCGCCGGAACCCCUUGACCACUCGAUCUAAGGGCCUUUGGCAGGAGGAUGGGGGCAUCAGCUAGCAGCGCUGCCGCCGGCCUUCGCCGCUCCAAUUCGCCAUGUUCGUCCGCUGUCGGACCAAUCCAGCACCACCACGAUGACCCCCCUCGUCGAGCCGAACGCGUUCAGGUGGACUUCGUCGCCCCUACAUCGCUGGACACCGCCGUCCACGGAGCUGCCGCCGGCCAUGUUGUCUCCGGCCAAAUUUCGACCAGCAUAGGGGCCCUCCGACGCCGGUGAGCGCCUCCCGAGACCUCCUCCACCCCCUCUCCAUUUUCCCCCUCUUGCCGAAGCUUCCCAUGUGCUGGAACGCGACGAGCAGGAAGGGGCCAGGACCAGAGAUUUAUUCCCGUCGCAUCCUCUCUCAGGUGUGACAUGUGAAGGGUGCAGUGGCAAUGCUAGACAGUAGACAGACGCUAUAUUGCUAAUCGCUGGCAUUGAGCAGGCUGGGCGUUUACGGCACCAUCCAAUCAUCCAUCAGGAGCAGGUCAUAGCAGAGUUGGCAAGCCACAGUCAAGUAUGGUUUGCAAACCUGCAGAUUCCCCUUUGAUUACUCUCUCAAUUUUGUCUUGGAUCUCUAGGUUUCUAUAAUUAUAGUAUGCAACAGGUUCUUUCUUUCUGCAUAGUCAGUGAUUGCUGUAGUGCUGAUUUGCAUACAACGUCAGGUUUGUGAGAAUAGAUGUUUACAUAUUUUUGCUAACAUAGCAAAGUAAUUGUCUUUAACACAGGGAUCAUCGUAUCUAGGGACAGAAGGGGUCUUUUCAAGUGCGUGCAUUAACGUAGAUAGACAAGAAUUUACAGGGAAAAUCACUUCACGCAGGCUUGGCAAUUUGUGUAAUUGCGUGGCAAUGGAUGUUUACCUGCUGCUUGGACAUGGGUUAGGCUGCUGUCAGCCUGUCAUACAAAAAUUGCAACCGGGUUUGGAAUUGAAAUGUUUUCUGUAGAAUUUUUUUUUGUUCUAAGCUUUGUGAAAAGCAACCAUGUUUCAAAAUUGAGCUUGAAGGUUAUUUUGUUUAUGCUAGCUGAAUCGUUGCUAUCAUGACAUGGUGAAGUAAUCUUAAAUUUGUUUUGAAAUAGAAGACAGUUUCGACUUUGAAAAUGUUGAGCUAAAUGCCAUCAAAGUAGAAAACUAGAUUAGUAUCUCUGAAAAUGUUGAACUACCAGUUGGCCUGUGGGAAUUAGGAACAUCUAUUGUUUUAUGUAAUAGAUAUUAUCUUAUGAGUAAUGCAUGUUCAGGCAACGACAGACCAUGCAUGCUGUUUUUAAUCAGAACCAUGGAAGGAAGUGGACCUCUGGUUAGUUGGUUCAUUGUGCCUGCGAGGAUAAAUAAGCACUAAAUUCUUAAUUUUGGAGUUAGGAGUAGUUUAGAAAUCCACAAUAACUAUAAACACUAGGAGUUUACACAUAAUUUGUACUGAUAAAUCACCGUAGCGUUGGCACCAUGUGGGAAGGGAGGACAUGUUAUUUUCUUUUCUUUGUCACCGAACAGAUAUGCUUUUUUUUAAAAUCUCCAAACAGAUUAAACCGAGCUUGGGUGAUAUUCAAUGAAUAUGUUAGCCGGAAAAAAUAAUCUAUUGAGCAAUAUGUUGUUUGUUUAUUAGCAUCUUAAAUUCAGCACAUUAUUGCCAUGUUUCAGACUGUUCAAAUUCUGUUCCAUCGGGAUGUUUCCGAGUUUGCAAAGCUACUUAGAGAAAUCAUGCUGCAAUAUCUCCAUUAGAAUGGGGAAUGUGCAUCUCAAUUAGAAAUAAAAUAAAAUAUAUGUUUAUUACUAUAAUUUUUUGCUAGUUUUUUUUUAAAAAAACAAAUUUAUAGUUAUGCUAACAAAGUUUUUUAAAUACAAUUUUUUGCUAGUUUUUUUUAAAAACAUGUGCAUGGGGAAUGAGCAUCUCCAUUAGAAUUUGUAGUUAUCCUAACAAAGUUGGUUAAAUUAAAAAUAUUUGUUUACUUGGUUUUCUUUAUGAAUGUAAAAUUCUUGUUUUCAACAUUUUGUGAAAGCUCCAUGUCAAUAAAAAUUAUUGUGGUAUUGAAUAUGCUGGUGCCGCACGUACCUUUCCAUGAAUAUAAAUUCUUAUUUGCCAUAAUCUUUUUUUAAAUUUGCCAUAAUUUUUUUAAACACGUUUGUGCCGCACGUACACUCUACUUGGCUUUUGUUAUCAAGCAAUAAUGGAUUCAGACAAGUUCUUAUGUUACAUUAUUAUUGUUAUCAAUUGUUAAUGUCUUGGCAGAACUUUUACACCAUGGAGUAUAUUAUGUAGCUCCGUAGAGUUGAUAUAGAAUUAGUUGUAAAUAUGGAAUGAAAAUGUGCAAAACCACUAAAUAAACACGUGCCCAGGCACGUGCAUAACCACUAUGGAAUUUAAAGAGAAAAAAAGGCCAUGUGAAGGACACGUUUUCGUUGACAGGGAUAUGGAUAUUGGGCUGGCAAUUUGGCCCACAAUAUCGAUGGAAUUUGGGCUAGGUCUAUUAUGAAUUUCAGAAAUUCCAAAUAAAUCUCAAAGGCCCAUAUGUGUGUGCAUGAGAGAGCUAGUGGUGCAAUCUUUUAGUCCCACCUUGUUUGUGGAAGAUGAGAAUGGCUAACUUAAAUAGUGAAGCUAUUCUUGCCUCUCCAAACUAUGUGUGUGGGGGGAAAGGAAGCCCCACAUGCGUGCGCUCGCUCGCCCCGCCGGGGCGAUGGGCGCGCGACAUACGCGUGAAUGGUCCGCCGAAAUCCGGCUUCUCGCCUUGCAGUGGCGUGACUUCCUUUUGCGGUUUUAUUUUUUGGUUGCUUGCCCAAUAAGUUGACGAGAUCUGCAAGGUCAAAUCGGUUUCCUAAUCUGAUUAUGGUUCCAAUCACGGCGCGAGGUCGUGGGCGCUCCUAUAUAUACAGCCUAUCAGUCUUCGUCAAAAUCAAUUUAAUCUGAGUUAGGGUUUUGCCUCUUCUCGCUGCUACGCCGCCACCGUAGUCUUCUCCAUCCUGAGUGUCGGCGUGCACCGGCGAACGGGAGAGCAGGUCUCCGAAACCUCUCGCCUUUGGGAUCCUGCACCGGGAGAAAGCGAAUAAGGUUUUUUGGAAGCGCCCGGGGCGACUACUCAAAGAUCUUCGUCACGGCUCGUCCUCUGUCCAAGUCUGGUGCUGCGGCGUAUCAUUGUCUACGACAUCAUUUGCUGCACUCCGUUCGCAGGACCGUCUUCGUCCCAUCAGCGCCGUUCGUCUUCCCGAAGGCCAAUACUCAGUACGUACUCUGUUAUUCGAUUUGUUUCUUAAUCAUAUUUUCUGAGUUUAUGUUUUUGCUGCAUCUUGCUACUAGUAUGAUAGAGCUGUUCAUACUAGAUCUAGUCAUGUUCAUGAUUUAUUUAUUUUGAAAUUUAAUCAUACAAUUGUCUAAUUAUUCAACAAUCCAAAAACCUUAUGCUAGGCAAUCCGUUGAUUUUACUAUGGCUGGUUUUGCUGAUGUACUGAGGUCGGACAAGUUUACCAGUGUGCACUUUAAGAGAUGACAAGUCAAGGUCCGUCUCUGGCUUACUGUGCUACAUGCAUGGGAAGCGAGGCUUGGUAUUCCAAUAGGUGAACAUUCUCCUGAGGUGAGGAGGAAGUUCACGGAUGCCAACGACCUCUUCGUGGGAUGCGUGAUAAGUUUCUCGCUGAUCGUCUGGUUGAUGUGUACAUGCACAUAACAGAUGCAAAAGAACUGUAGGAUGCUUUGGUUGCCAAGUAUACCAUGAGAGCUUUCAUGACUUCAGGAUGGUGAACAACCGUUCUGUUGUAGAACAGGCUCAUGAGGUACAGGUUCUUGUCAAGGAGCUCGAACUCCUGAAGUGUCAUUUGCCUGACAAGUUUGUGGCUGGGUGCAUAAUUGCAAAGUUACCUUCCUCAUGGAGGAAUUUCGCCACUACUCUGAAACACAAGAGACAGAAAAUAUCAGUUGAAAACCUGAUAGCAUCUCUUGAUGUUGAGGAGAAAGCUCGGGCGAAGGAUGCUUCUGAGAAAGGAGGCGAGGGUAACUCUAGUACCAACAUGGUGCAGAAGAACCACCCACACAGCAAGAACAAGAAGGCAGCCCACAAGCCUUUCAAGACUACUACCUUCAAGAAAAAGAAGACUACAAAUGCCAAAGGAGCUUGCUACACGUGCGGUGAUGGGGACCACUUCGCGAGAGAUUGUCGAAACCGUGCCGACCGCAAGGCAAAGGCUAAUCAUGGAUCAUGAGGAUUCAAGGAUGUCAACAUGACAACACUGGGCAGCACUGAGGAUGGGCCAUCCAAGGUUCAAGCGUGCUGAUGGGGAACGGGUCACAUGCUUCUGUUUGUGGUGUAGGUACGAUAGAUCUGUAGUUUACUUCGGGGAAGAUCGUGCAGCUGAAAAUGUCCCAACUAUCAACAAGAAUCUUGUGAGCAGCUCCCUUUUGUGCAAAGACGGGUUUAAUGUAGUAUUAGAGUCCAAUAAAUUAGUCGUGUCGAAAUAUGGACAAUUCAUUGGUAAAGGCUAUGAUUGCGGAGGUUUGUUUCGCUUUUCCCUUGUAGAAUUUUGUAAUAAGUCAGUGAACCAUAUUUGUGGUGUUGUUAAUGAUGAUGCGAGUAUUUGGCACUCU